AAAUCUUUCAUCUUUUUCGGCUAACCCUAAUUCUCCUUUCAAGUCUGCUCAUCACCUUCAUGCUUGUGUACGAAACAAAGUCCACACACAAACCUUCAUUGCUGUCUUUCUGCAAUCUUUCUAUGAAAGACGACGUUGUCCGAACAAGAAGGCAUCAAAGACGCCUCCAAUCACAACGUCGCCACUCCUUUAGAUCUGAAUCAUCCCUUGUAUCUUCAUCCUUCAGAGACGCAGAUGACUACACUGUUAUCCGAACCUCUAAUCAGAACCACAAACUAUGCAAAAUAGAGUCGAGCCAUGAAGAUGGCUCUCUAAGCAAGAAACAAGAUCGGUAUUGUUGAUGGUUCCUACAGACGAGAUGCCCAAGAUCCCACUCUCCCACUCUCUAUGCACAGUGGGAUUGUUGCAAUGUUGUCAUACUCUCAUGGUUGGUUAACUUUGUAUCUAAGGAAAUUUCAGCUAGCAUCACCAUUUUAGAAAACGUGAAUCUCAUUUGGGAAGAUCUCCAAGAACGCUUCAGUGUCAUCGAUGGCUCCAAGAUUUACAGCCUACAUCAUUUAAUCAACUCUCGCACACAAGAAUCGAUGUCAGUAUCAAGCUAUUUUACGGGAUUGAAGGAGUUAUGAGAGAAGUAUUCUACAGUUGUGCCUUUACCUAAUUGUUUUGUUGAUGCACCCAACAGUCAAUUACGCCUAUUCACUAGUCUGCCAAGAAGAGAUGCAGCGCAACUUAACCCUUCCUCCACAUAGCCUGAGUAAUGAAGGCUUUGCCAUGGCAAUUAGAAGACGUGGUAGGUUCAAUAGAGGAUAAGAACGGGCAGGUUCAUCUAAAGAAUGUAUAUAUUGUCACCAAGAAGGCCACAAAUGAGGCAAUUGCUAUCAUUUAGUAGGAUUCCUACUAGGCUUUGGCAAAGGAAGAGGCACUCAGGAUCGACAAGUCAACACGCAAAUACCCCUUCUACUAAUUUAGUCCCAUCUAAUCACAAGAACGUCAACUCCUUUCUUAACAAGACUAUAUAUAAUAAUAUUCUCAAGAUACUGCACCAGGAUACCAAAUCCAUCCCUGUUGGUGCUGUGACUGCAAAUGACUCGAAAGAGUCAUCAGGUUCAGUUUACAAUAUUUUACCUAUUAUAAAUUCAAUUGCACAUAUUUCAAAUAUGCAUAAAGCACAAUGGUUGUUGGAUUUAGGGGCCAUUGCACAUGUUGUUAGUUCAUGAAAUGUUUUAGAUAAGUACACUAAAUAUAUUAGCCCCUUAUUAAAAUACGUAUCCCAAAUUGAGAAAAACUACCUAUCACACACAGAGGAUCCAUCACAUUGUUUGAUAAUAUAGUCCUAGACAAUGUUCUAUAUGCAACUGGAAUAUCUUAUGAUCUAGUUUCCAUUUCAUAUCUCACUUCAAAACUCAAUUGUGUUGUUGCUUUCUUUCCUGAUGUAUGUGUCUUAUAAGAUCUUUAUAAUGAAAGCACCAGGAUGAUUGGUAAAAUAGAUUCUGGACCUUACAUUGUUGAA